GGGAAUUUAGCUCAGCAGCAUAAGCACCUGCCUUGGAAGCAGGUUGUUGGGAGUUCAAUCCCCAGUACCGA
rfam:Cavia porcellus supercont2_55 genomic scaffold, whole genome shotgun sequence.